rnacentral:rRNA from 1 species
GACGAACCGUGCAAACGUUAUUCGGAAUCACUGGGCAUAAAGGGCGCGUAGGCGGCUUCCUAAGUCAGGGGUGAAAUCCGGCAGCUCAACUGUCGCAGUGCCUUUGAUACUGGGAAGCUCGAGGGAGGUAGGGGUCUGUGGAACUUCCGGUGGAGCGGUGAAAUGCGUUGAUAUCGGAAGGAACGCCGGUGGCGAAAGCGACGGACUGGACCUUUUCUGACGCUGAGGCGCGAAAGCCAGGGGAGCAAACGGG